AAAGUCGUAACAAGGUUUCCGUAGGUGAACCUGCGGAAGGAUCAUUACCUGGCCUUGGGCCGCUCGGGGGAGCCAGUCGCUCGCGACGACGCUGCCUUGGGCGCUUAGCCCUUGACUAUCACCUUGACUACGUGCACCUUUUGUUGUUUCCUCGGCAGGUCCUCUGCCGCCAGGAACCCCCCAAACCCUUUGCAACAGCAUCCAAACUUCUGAAAACAAACCAAAUCAUUUAUAACUUUUAACAAUGGAUCUCUUGGUUCUG
rnacentral:misc_RNA from 1 species